rnacentral:rRNA from 1 species
GUAGGUGGCAAGCGUUGUCCGGAAUUAUUGGGCGUAAAGCGCGCGCAGGCGGUUCUUUAAGUCUGAUGUGAAAACCCACGGCUCAACCGUGGAGGGUCAUUGGAAACUGGAGAACUUGAGUACAGAAGAGGAAAGCGGAAUUCCACGUGUAGCGGUGAAAUGCGUAGAGAUGUGGAGGAACACCAGUGGCGAAGGCGGCUUUCUGGUCUGUAACUGACGCUGAGGCGCGAAAGCGUGGGGAGCAAACAGGGAUUAGAUACCCUGGUAGUCCACGCCGUAAACGAUGAGUGCUAAGUGUUAGGGGGUUUCCCGCCCCUUAGUGCUGCAGCUAACGCAUUAAGCACUCCGCCUGGGGAGUACGGCCGCAAGGCUG